UACGUAGGCAGCAAGCGUUGUUCAGAGUUACUGGGCGUAAAGGGUGUGUAGGCGGUUGCUUAAGUUUGGUGUGAAAUCUCCCGGCUCAACUGGGAGGGUGCGCCGAAUACUGAGUGACUCGAGUGCGGGAGAGGAAAGUGGAAUUCCUGGUGUAGCGGUGAAAUGCGUAGAUAUCAGGAGGAACACCGGUGGUGUAGACGGCUUUCUGGACCGUAACUGACGCUGAAACACGAAAGCGUGGGUAGCAAACAGG
rnacentral:rRNA from 1 species